UAAUAGUUUUCAUACAAAACUUUUACACUUCCAUAUGUUUGUUAGUUGAGUGCGAACCAGAAUAAUGUGGAAUAAGACAGUUGCAAUAAUGAAGUGUAUUAGGGUGUUACAAAGCAUAUUAAGUAACUUAUCUUAUCACUUAGUUACUUAAACGGGUCUGUUUACAACUUUACAUUGCACAAAUGCUGUGUAUCAAGUUUAAUGCACUACUUCAAGUCAUGACUUGAUUCUAGAAGUCGUCUUCCAAUUCCAGAAUUUUAUGAUUAUCACUGUAUCUGAAUGGGUUUGUCGAUGUGGUUAUAAUUGGUCCGGUAUUUGAAGGAUUCUGAACAGUAUAUUUUAAACUACUAUUCAGACUUUUGCCCUUUCUUUACAAGAAAACGUCUCACAAAUUUCUGAAAGAAAUACGAGCAAGAAAAUGGCAGAAAAUUGUCUAAUAUCAAUCAUCAUUGUUCCUCCGAUUAAAGGGCAUUAUUGUCUUUACUUAAAAUCACAUUGCUGUCCCUUCUAAGAUAUUAAAUUUUGAAUUUACUGUCCCCUUCACGUAUUCCUGAAGCGUUCUCAUUUUUUGUUAUUUACUGUUAAACUAAUUCGGAAUCAUCGAGCUUAUUUAAUAUUUAUUGCAUUAUUAUUUUAAGUGCUUUCCUAUUUAAAGUGUAUAAUUUACAAUAAGGAGUGCACUCCCUUAAUCUCUCAAGUGUAAACGUAAUAUAUUAAGUGACCCACUAAAUGUUGCCCUUUUUACACCUCAUUCUGAUCAUCUCGAUAAACAAUGAGGAAGAUAUCAUUUUGCUCUUUUUUGCAAAAACAAGAUUUUUUUCUUAUUUGUAAAAAUGAAUAUCUCCAUCAUUUUUUCUUGAUAAUAGGUAUCGUUGUGAGUAGGGCAUAAGGGUAAUUUAAAAUUGCGUUGAUAGUCUCGAUGAGUUAUAGUAGCGCUUAUUUGAUCAGUUAGU
rnacentral:lncRNA from 1 species